CUGCUCAUCCACCCUCAAGAAAGGACACCAGAAUAUAUUCCUGCUGAACUUCUAUUUCCCCGCAAAUCUUCUCUUUGUUAGCUCCAUUUUCUUCCAUGAUGAGUUGGAUGAAGUGUUGUGUGUUCCCCCUGGUGCUGCUGUGCAUGUGGCAGCUGCAAGAAGGAGCCCACGCCUGCACGUGUGUGUAUGACCAUCCACAGACGCAGUUCUGCCAGUCCGAUGUCGCCAUCAAGGCAAAGGUGGUUGCAAAGAAGGCUGUUGGUGGUAAAUUUGACAAUGUGAUCAACUAUGACAUCAAACUGAUCAAGAUUUUGAAAGGCCCUAAAAGACACCAUGAUACCAUCUGCACUGCAUCCUCCUCUGCGGCAUGUGGUGUGACUCUGAACAAAGGUGCAUGUCUUUGGAAGUGGGAGGAAGCCGGAGUACCCGGAGGGAACCCACGCAUUCACGGGGAGAACAUGCAAACUCCACAGAAAGAUCCCGAGCCUGGAUUUGAACCCAGGACUGCAGGAACUUCGUAUUGUGAGGCAGAUGCACUAUUUUAUCAAAGGCCAACUGAAGCCAGACGGGUCUUUGUACGUGUCAUCCUGUAACUACCCUGGAAAAGCAGCCACAAGAUCCUGGUAAAACGUUAUCUGAUGGGCUGUGAUUGCAUGAUCAAUCGCUGCACCGCUGUCCUAAGUGACAACACUGGUCCAACUGAGUGCUUAUGGGCUGACUGGGAAUUGGCUCAAUAACGAGGGCGACAAUGUGCUUGCAUCAAGAGAAGUGAUGGUUCUUGUUCCUGGUAAAAGUAGGCUGCCUCGCACAAAAAGGGUUAAUGAACACUAUAGACCUUUGAAACCUCAUACAAAACAUGUCAAUUACGAAUAAAUCUCUUUAAAGCAA